rnacentral:rRNA from 1 species
CUACGGGGCGCUGCAGUCGCGAAAACUUCGUAAUGUGCGCAAGCAUGACGAGGGGAUCCCAAGUGCACAUGUACAACAUGUGCUUUUCUUAAGCCUAAAAAGCUUGGGGAAUAAGGGCUGGGUAAGACUGGUGCCAGCCUCCGCGGUAACACCAGCGGCUCAAGUGGUGAUCAUGUUUACUGGGUUUGAAGCGUGCGUAGUCGGUUUAGCAAGUUUUCUGUGAAAUCCUCAGGCUCAACUUGAGGGAUUGCAGAAAAUACUACUAGGCUCGAGACCGGGAGAGGAGUGAGGUAUUCUGGGGGUAGCGGUGAAAUGCUAUAAUCCUUGGAGGACCACCUGUAGCGAAGGCGUCACUCUGGAACGGGUCUGACGAUGAGGUACGAGAGCUAGGGGAGCGAACAGGAUUAGAUACCCCUGUAGUC